rnacentral:rRNA from 1 species
UACGUAGGGGGCAAGCGUUGUCCGGAUUUAUUGGGCGUAAAGGGUCUGUAGGUGGCCAACUAAGUCAGACGUGAAAUCCCUCAGCUUAACUGGGGAACUGCGUCUGAUACUGGAUGGCUUGAGUGUGGGAGAGGAAUGCGGAAUUCCAGGUGUAGCGGUGAAAUGCGUAGAUAUCAGGAGGAACACCGGUGGCGAAGGCGGUUCUCUGGGCAUUACCUGACGCUGAGGAGCGAAAGUGUGGGGAGCGAACAGG